rnacentral:rRNA from 1 species
AGAACGAACGCUGGCGGCAUGCCUAACACAUGCAAGUCGAACGAGACCUUCGGGUCUAGUGGCGCACGGGUGCGUAACGCGUGGGAAUCUGCCCUUAGGUACGGAAUAACAGUGAGAAAUUACUGCUAAUACCGUAUGAUGUCUUCGGACCAAAGAUUUAUCGCCUAGGGAUGAGCCCGCGUUGGAUUAGCUAGUUGGUGGGGUAAAGGCCUACCAAGGCGACGAUCCAUAGCUGGUCUGAGAGGAUGAUCAGCCACACUGGGACUGAGACACGGCCCAGACUCCUACGGGAGGCAGCAGUGGGGAAUAUUGGACAAUGGGCGAAAGCCUGAUCCAGCAAUGCCGCGUGAGUGAAGAAGGCCUUAGGGUUGUAAAGCUCUUUUACCGGGAAGAUAAUGACUGUACCGGGAGAAUAAGCCCGGCUAACUCCGUGCCAGCAGCCGC